GCAGGUACGGCCAGGAGAGGAGCAGGUGGGCAGCCCGAGCCAGCCCAGCGGCGCUCCCGGCCGGCGGGGCUCCGCUCCCCGCGGCCGCCCAGCGCAGCCGGGCAGCGCACGGCAACUUCCCGCGGGCGCUCGGUCCCGGCGGAGGGGGAGAACGGGACGGGAGGCGGCUGGGCACCCCGCUGACACCAAGCAUGAGGGACCAGCGCAGGACAUGCCAACUUGGAUCGGCGGGUCCCCUCCCUCUGCGUGGGGCUGGAGAGGACCGAGUCCGAGCCGCCAAAGCCGCGGGACCCUCCGGCGCCGCCCCGGGCACCAGGAGGGGGGCGGCCGAAGCUCCUCUCCCGACAGCCAAAAAAAGUAAACACCACCUCCCAGGUCUACUGUUCAACAGGGAAGUCUGACAGACAGAAACCUUUUUGAGUUUUAGCCACUGUGUUCUUCAGCUGUUACAGGCAAGAAGUUUAACAUGGAUCUGAUUCCCUCAGUCUUCAGAUUUCAACUGGAUAAGUGUAAAUAUGGAACAAUGGCUAAAGAAAAGUGGCUCUUGCAAGAUAUGGACAUUGUGCAGGCUGAGUUCUUUUCAUUUUGGGAAGGGACAUUAAUUAUUUUUUGGUUUAUAUGACAUUUGUAUUUGCCCCCUUACACCUAAAACACCACAUACCAAACAUCUAUGCUUUUAAUAUAUGAGGGUUGACAAAAAGCAACACAAACCAACUGUCUUGGCUUGCGUUUUCCAAGACGAUUAUUAAGGCAAGAACCAAGAAAGUAGAAGUUAAAUACUGAAGCAUAGUUGUAGAUGCUUUAUGGUCUUCUGGAGCAUAGCAGACCCUGUUCUACAUUUUCUGGAGUUAGUCUAUAUCUAACAAAGCCUCACUGAUAAGUGUCCAGCCUGGGAACACACUUUUUCCAUUAAAGAGCAAAUAGCUGGAGUAUCUUCUCUUGUACACCCAGAUCUACUGGCAGCAAUGAAAGACACCAGGUUUUUAAAGGAUUGUUGUGCAUUGCAUUAUUAUUAUUAUUGGUUGUUAUUAACUAUGAUGUAGUGUCUACUAGAUAUAUUUAGUACAUAUUUGACAUAAUAAUUUAUUCUUACUUAACAGUUUUUAUCUAAUAUCAUCAAGCUUUUUACAAUUCUAAUUCAAUUUUACUUUAUUGGUUCAAAGGCAGUUAUCAGUAAAACACUGAUAGCACAGUAACAAGUGGAGGAACAGAUAAGUUAAAUGACCUGUGCAAAAAUUCUUGGAAUUCCUGGGUCUUUACUCUGAUAUUGAUUUACUUUAACAGAACAAACCACAUGGUAAGCAGUUUCAAAAAUCUUCUUAAGUUUUUUGCACUGUCAGAGGGGAAGACAACAUUUUCUAAAAUUCUGCAUCCUGUCUACUUUUGAGUGCUUAUUUCAAUAAGAAAUGCCCACAUUUCCAAAGAUAAUAAAAUGCAUAUCAAAGCCUUAUCAUUAAUGUUUAUAAGAAAAUCCACAGCUUUAUAACUGAUACACAAAUAAAACACAUAGUUUAUUAAGGUCUAAUAUCUGUAGUAUCACUUAUAUUCUUGUAUGAUAUGUUUUACCUCAAUUGUUUUCUUAUGGGAUGCAUACAUGGAUAGAGGAAGUAUAGCCUGUUCUAAAAGAAGAUUGAAUGUAACUCUUGGAAUGUCAUUCUGAAAGUGGUGAGGAGAUGUAAGAAUAUGGUGACUUACCAAAUUUAUGUAACAUAAAUUCCAGAUGCUUGUUAAAUGAAUAAUCAUUUAUGUCAAACAUGCACAUAUGACAUUUUUCCUGUUUCAAACAGAGAUUCCACUCUAGCUUGCAUUUUUAGUUUUAAAUCUAAAGAAACAAUUUGAUGCAACCACAAUUCUUUUGUUUGUUGGAUCAAAUUAAUGAUUACACACCUGUAAAAUAAGGAAAUGUGUUAAUAAUAAAUGUGCUGUACACAAACAUAUGAAA